rnacentral:rRNA from 1 species
GAUGAACGCUGGCGGCGUGCCUAACACAUGCAAGUCGAACGGAGUCGUUUUGGAAAUCUCUUCGGAGAUGGAAUUCUCGACUUAGUGGCGGACGGGUGAGUAACGCGUGAGCAAUCUGCCUUUAAGAGGGGGAUAACAGUCGGAAACGGCUGCUAAUACCGCAUAAAGCAUUAAAUUCGCAUGUUUUUGAUGCCAAAGGAGCAAUCCGCUUUUAGAUGAGCUCGCGUCUGAUUAGCUAGUUGGCGGGGUAACGGCCCAACAAGGCGACGAUCAGUAGCCGGACUGAGAGGUUGAACGGCCACAUUGGGACUGAGACACGGCCCAGACUCCUACGGGAGGCAGCAGUGGGGAAUAUUGCGCAAUGGGGGAAACCCUGACGCAGCAACGCCGCGUGAUUGAAGAAGGCCUUCGGGUUGUAAAGAUCUUUAAUCAGGGACGAAACAAAUGACGGUACCUGAAGAAUAAGCUCCGGCUAACUACGUG